rnacentral:rRNA from 1 species
UGGGGAAUAUUGCACAAUGGGCGCAAGCCUGAUGCAGCCAUGCCGCGUGUGUGAAGAAGGCCUUCGGGUUGUAAAGCACUUUUCAGCGAGGAGGAAGGUGGUGAGCUUAAUACGCUCAUCAAUUGACGUUACUCGCAGAAGAAGCACCGGCUAACUCCGUGCCAGCAGCCGCGGUAAUACGGAGGGUGCAAGCGUUAAUCGGAAUUACUGGGCGUAAAGCGCACGCAGGCGGUUUGCUAAGUCAGAUGUGAAAUCCCCGGGCUCAACCUGGGAACUGCAUUUGAAACUGGCAAGCUAGAGUCUCGUAGAGGGGGGUAGAAUUCCAGGUGUAGCGGUGAAAUGCGUAGAGAUCUGGAGGAAUACCGGUGGCGAAGGCGGCCCCCUGGACGAAGACUGACGCUCAGGUGCGAAAGCGUGGGGAGCAAAACAGGAUUAGAUACCCUGGUAGUCCACGCUGUAAAACGAUGUCGAUUUUGGAGGUUGUGCCCUUGAGGCGUGG